rnacentral:rRNA from 1 species
GCUCUUUGGUGAUUCAUGAUAACUUAACGGAUCGCAUGGCCUUGCGCCGGCGACGGUUCAUUCAAAUUUCUGCCCUAUCAACUUUCGAUGGUAAGGUAUUGGCUUACCACGGUUUCAACGGGUAACGGGGAAUUAGGGUUCGAUUCCGGAGAGGGAGCCUGAGAAACGGCUACCACAUCCAAGGAAGGCAGCAGGCGCGCAAAUUACCCAAUCCCGACACGGGGAGGUAGUGACAAUAAAUACUGAUACAGGGCUCUUUUGGGUCUUGUAAUCGGAAUGAGUACAAUUUAAACCCCUUAACGAGGAACAAUUGGAGGGCAAGUCUGGUGCCAGCAGCCGCGGUAAUUCCAGCUCCAAUAGCGUAUAUUAAAGUUGUUGCAGUUAAAAAGCUCGUAGUUGAACCUUGGGCCUGGCUGGCCGGUCCGCCUCACCGCGUGUACUGGUCCGGCCGGGCCUUUCCUUCUGGAGAGCCCCAUGCCCUUCACUGGGCGUGCGGGGGAACCAGGACUUUUACUUUGAAAAAAUUAGAGUGUUCAAAGCAGGCCUUUGCUCGAAUACGUUAGCAUGGAAUAAUAGAAUAGGACGUGCGGUCCUAUUUUGUUGGUUUCUAGGACCGCCGUAAUGAUUAAUAGGGAUAGUCGGGGGCAUCAGUAUUCAAUUGUCAGAGGUGAAAUUCUUGGAUUUAUUGAAGACUAACUACUGCGAAAGCAUUUGCCAAGGAUGUUUUCAUUAAUCAGUGAACGAAAGUUAGGGGAUCGAAGACGAUCAGAUACCGUCGUAGUCUUAACCGUAAACUAUGCCGACUAGGGAUCGGGCGAUGUUUCUAUCUUGACUCGCUCGGCACCUUACGAGAAAUCAAAGUUUUUGGGUUCUGGGGGGAGUAUGGUCGCAAGGCUGA